rnacentral:rRNA from 1 species
GCCAGUAGUCAUAUGCUUGUUUUAAAGAUUAAGCCAUGCAUGUCUAAGUAUAAGCAAAAAUACAGCAAAACUGCAAAUGGCUCAUUAAAACAGUUAUUGUUUACUUGAUAAUAAUUUUUACAUGGAUAACCGUGGUAAUUCUACAGCUAAUACAUGAGCAAAAUCUCAACUUUAUUAGAAGAGACGCAUUUAUUAGAUAAAAAGCCAGUUCAUGCUUUUACAGUAUGAAAAUUGGUGAUUUAUAAUAACUUAGCAAAUCGCAAAGUGAAAACAGGCGAUAAAUCAUUCAAGUUUCUGACCUAUCAGCUUUCGACGGUAUGGUAUUGGCUUACCGUGGCAGUGACGGUUAACGGGGGAUUAGGGUUCGAUUCCGGAGAGGGAGCCUGAGAAACGGCUACCACAUUUAAGGAAGGCAGCAUGCGCGCAAAUUACCCAGUUCUAACAGUUUGAGAGAGGUAGUAACAAGAAAUAACAAUACAAGGCAGUUAAAAUGCUUUGUAAUUGGAAUGAUAGAAAUUUAAACCCUUUUUAAAGUAUCAAUUGGAGGGCAAGUCUGGUGCCAGCAGCCGCGGUAAUUCCAGCUCCAAUAGCGUAUAUUAAAAUUGUUGCAGUUAAAAAGCUCGUAAUUGAAGUUCUGCUGAAAGUAACCGGUCUGCUUUUAAUAAAAGUGGUAUCUUGGUAUGUAUUUAGCAAUGAUGUCCUUUGAAGUGUUUUUUACUUUAUUGUAAUAAAGCAUAUUCAGGACUUUUACUUUGAGAAAAUUAGAGUGUUUCUAGCAGGCUGACGCUUUGAAUACUGCAGCAUGGAAUAAUAAGAUAGGAUUUUAGUUCUACAUUAUUGGUUUUAAGAGCUAAAUUAAUGAUUGAUAGGGACAGUUGGGGGCAUUUGUAUUUAACUGUCAGAGGUGAAAUUAAAAGAUUUGUUAAAGACAAACUACUGCGAAAGCAUUUGCCAAAGAUGUUUUCAUUAAUCAAGAACGAAAGUUAGGGGAUCGAAGACGAUCAGAUACCGUCGUAGUCUUAACUAUAAACUAUGCCAACUAGAGAUUGGAGGUCGUCUUUAUAAACGACUCCUUCAGCACCUUA